UGGUGAGGGGCCCAUACACCGGCUCGCACGCCGGGCGGGGACAGCCUGGAGCCGGGCGCGCCGAGGAGACGCCGGAGCGCAGCGGGGACGCGCGGGCGCCGAGCGAGGAGGCGCGGGGUGGCGCGGCCGAGAGGGCGGCAGGACUUGCGAAGGGGAAAAGGAGGACGACGAAGGGGCGGGGAAGCCCGCCGAGACCGAAGAGCCGCCGGGAGCCGGGCCGGGACGCGCCGCCGCGGUUGCCGUUGCUACCAAAACAGUCUGAAGCGGAGGGAGGCGAGCGCUGCGCCUCCUGGACCCACCUGCCUGCUGUUCACUCCCAGCUGGACAUCCUGCAGAACCUUUAGACCCUGUGUGUCCAGAAUUUCAUCCCUUAUCCUCUUCUUGGCCAGGACGACAUCCCAAGCUUUGGUAAGCUGGGUCGAGAUCCCAUGGACAGAAUGAUCUGGAGAUGGGAAGAAGUAACAGAAGGACCACCAAGGACACCACUGCAGUGGUCCAGGUGAGAUGAGAUGGUGGCUUGGGUUAGG
rnacentral:lncRNA from 1 species